rnacentral:rRNA from 1 species
UACGUAGGGGGCAAGCGUUGUCCGGACUCAUUGGGCGUAAAGAGCGUGUAGGCGGCCAGGUAGGUCGGUUGUGAAAACUGGAGGCUCAACCUUCAGAGGUCGACCGAAACCAUCUGGCUAGAGUCCGGGAGAGGAGAGUGGAAUUCCUGGUGUAGCGGUGAAAUGCGCAGAUAUCAGGAAGAACACCCGUGGCGAAAGCGGCUCUCUGGAACGGUACUGACGCUGAGGCGCGAAAGCGUGGGGAGCAAACGGG